GUCUCUUAGAAAGAUAUCCGAUAAAAUUGGAACGAUACAGAGAAGAUUAGCAUAGCCCCUGCCGAAGGAUGACACGCACAAAUCAAGAAAUGGUCCAAAUGUUU
rnacentral:snRNA from 1 species